ACUGGCAUUUAGGUAAAGAGAAAGAAAAAAUAUCUGAAAAAAUAUCUUCACGAACUUUAAUUUAUUCAUCACGUGACAUAACCCUCUCUCUCUCUCUCUCUCUCUCUUCACUUACUUCAGCAAGAACAAGAACACAAAGAACAAUGGGAGAUUACGGAGGUGGUUAUCAACAGCGUGGUUUUGGAGGUGGUAGAGGCGGUGGCCGCGGUGGGGGAUUCGGCGGCGGAGGCCGGGGAAGAGGUGGAGGACGUGGUGGUGGUGGAGGCGGCGGUGGUGGCGGCAGAGGAAGCAGAGAUGCCGAUUACUACACAGACCCAAAUGCAGAAAACUUUUGCAAGUUAUUUUUGGGUGGUCUUGCACCAGAAACCACAGAAGAUUCUAUCAAAGACCAUUUUGGUUCAUACGGAACAAUUGUUGACUGUGUUGUGAUGAGAGACCAAGAAAAGAAGAGGUCAAGAGGGUUUGGCUUUGUCACAUUUAGUGAAUCAUCUUGUGUAACAGAUGUACAGGCAAACAGACCACAUAAAAUAGAUGGAAAACAAAUAGAAACAAAAAGAGCCACACCAAAACAUCAACAGGCAGAGGGCCAGGAUGCUAAAGUGUCAACAAAAAAACUGUUUGUCGGUGGAAUUAAAGACGAUAUGACGGAGGACAUGUUAAGGGAAGAAUUCUCAAAAUAUGGAAAUGUGCAGUCAGUAAAAGUAAUACAAGGGAAAGGCUUCUGUUUCAUAGAGUUUGAUGACCAUGAUGCCGUGGACUGGUGCAAUUUGAUUGGCAGGUUCCAGAUUGCUGACAAAUGGGUGAAUGCCAAAAAGGCCCAAGACAAGAGUAAACAGCAACAGCCUGGUGGUCAGCGAGGUGGUGGUGGUGGUUACGGUCAACAAGGUUAUGGUGGUGGCAGUUACGGAGGUGGAUACGGUGGCAGCGGCGGCUAUGGUGAUAGCGGAUAUGGAGGUGGAUAUGGUGGAAAUGAUUAUGGUGGUGGUUUCGGUCAAGACUACCAAGGAAGCUAUGGAGGAGGACCAAUGAAAUCAUCAGGUGGUUAUGGAGCACAGAGAUCUCAGCCGUAUGGAGGUGGAGGUGAGUCAUAUGAUGGUGGAUAUAGUCAAGGUAGUUACGGUGGUGGACAGGGAGGAUACGGUGGCGGAGGCUAUGAUCAGAGUGGUGGAUACAGCAGUGGGGGAGGUGGUUACGGUGGAGGAUAUGGCAGCGGUGGUGGUGGCGGUGGAUACGGAGGUGGUAGUGGAGGCGGCUACGGGAGGCGAUAGACUGGUUUCUAUCACAGACAGUGGAACAUAGUGGAUUGGCUGCCCAAUGCCACAGCAGGACAAUGUUGGUAUGUUUGUGUCCAGGCAUCACAAGCUACUGGGAUUUUCCAAAGACUGGAACUUGAUAAUCGGAAAUGCAGCAUACCGAAGAGUGCAUAGAGAGCUAGAAGGGACAAAGGAGAUGAGAUAACUUGUUCAUAAAAUGAGAAAAUAAACUAGAAUCAUUAUA
rnacentral:misc_RNA from 1 species